CAGCUGUAGAGGGUAGAAUGGGGGUGGGUGAUUGGCAGUGGGGGACCUGGGAGGUUGAUAAGGAAUUCUUUGUUCUGACCCACCUAUGAAGGCAUAAUAGAGGGAGGCAGGAGGCAGAUCUUGGGCUCCCCCUAGAGGCAUCUGUGCACUCAUUCACCAAACACGGCGCCCCUAUCCGCUCUGGACACUGCCAGGUGCUGGAGGUGCAGUGCUGAGCAAGGGAUGAAGCCCCUGUCUCAUGGAGUGCAAGCUUCUCGCUAGAGGAGGCAAACAUGAAACACACUUAGACUCAGACCAAAGGAAGUUCCAGGGUGCUGUGUAGAGCCAGCUCUCCAAAGGACCUGAGCUCCCUGCUGCUGCCUUUAAACUGGGAGCCUGGGAAGAGCCAGCUGGGACUCGGAGCUACGCCAGUGGUCAGCCCAGCCACCAAGGCCAAGCUUCUAAGUCACAGAAUGAAAAGGCUUGGAAGCUGUGGGCCCUUCAUGUGGGGCUGAAGUCUUAAGACCUGGAGAGCAGCCCCAAGGGUGGAGAAGCGGCUGCUGAAGGGAUCAGCAUGCGCUGGCACAGGAAGUCUGUUUUCCAUGUGUCUGGAACCCAGCCGAAUCUUCCUGGGGUAAUUUUAACCAGUAUCCACUCUAGAACAAUACCAAAAAAGCAAGACUGUGUUGGGCUGGAGGAAAGGCAGUAAUCAACUCCAUGUUCCACAUGAGGAAACUGAAGAUCAUGGAAGGCAAGUCGAGAGCCCCAAGGUUAUCCAGCUUCAAGGUCACCAGUCACCCAGCUUCCUUCUUUCGUGCAGCCAGAUGCCCAUCCCAGUACUAGGUUGCGCUGUGGGGAUUGUGGAGUAGCUUAAGGCCUCCCUCUGCCUGCCCCACCCCCACUGUGUUUAUAUUGUUGGGAAACUUAAUCCACGGAAAUAAAGUGUGGAUUAUUUUUA